rnacentral:rRNA from 1 species
GACGCUGAAGAGAGGAGCUUGCUCUUCUUGGAUGAGUUGCGAACGGGUGAGUAACGCGUAGGUAACCUGCCUUGUAGCGGGGGAUAACUAUUGGAAACGAUAGCUAAUACCGCAUAACAAUGGAUGACACAUGUCAUUUAUUUGAAAGGGGCAAUUGUUCCACUACAAGAUGGACCUGCGUUGUAUUAGCUAGUAGGUGAGGUAAUGGCUCACCUAGGCGACGAUACAUAGCCGACCUGAGAGGGUGAUCGGCCACACUGGGACUGAGACACGGCCCAGACUCCUACGGGAGGCAGCAGUAGGGAAUCUUCGGCAAUGGGGGCAACCCUGACCGAGCAACGCCGCGUGAGUGAAGAAGGUUUUCGGAUCGUAAAGCUCUGUUGUAAGUCAAGAACGGGUGUGAGAGUGGAAAGUUCACACUGUGACGGUAGCUUACCAGAAAGGGACGGCUAACUACGUGCCAGCAGCCGCGGUAAUACGUAGGUCCCGAGCGUUGUCCGGAUUUAUUGGGCGUAAAGCGAGCGCAGGCGGUUUGAUAAGUCUGAAGUUAAAGGCUGUGGCUCAACCAUAGUUCGCUUUGGAAACUGUCAAACUUGAGUGCAGAAGGGGAGAGUGGAAUUCCAUGUGUAGCGGUGAAAUGCGUAGAUAUAUGGAGGAACACCGGUGGCGAAAGCGGCUCUCUGGUCUGUAACUGACGCUGAGGCUCGAAAGCGUGGGGAGCGAACAGGAUUAGAUACCCUGGUAGUCCACGCCGUAAACGAUGAGUGCUAGGUGUUGGAUCCUUUCCGGGAUUCAGUGCCGCAGCUAACGCAUUAAGCACUCCGCCUGGGGAGUACGACCGCAAGGUUGAAACUCAAAGGAAUUGACGGGGGCCCGCACAAGCGGUGGAGCAUGUGGUUUAAUUCGAAGCAACGCGAAGAACCUUACCAGGUCUUGACAUCCCGAUGCUAUUUCUAGAGAUAGAAAGUUACUUCGGUACAUCGGUGACAGGUGGUGCAUGGUUGUCGUCAGCUCGUGUCGUGAGAUGUUGGGUUAAGUCCCGCAACGAGCGCAACCCCUAUUGUUAGUUGCCAUCAUUCAGUUGGGCACUCUAGCGAGACUGCCGGUAAUAAACCGGAGGAAGGUGGGGAUGACGUCAAAUCAUCAUGCCCCUUAUGACCUGGGCUACACACGUGCUACAAUGGUUGGUACAACGAGUUGCGAGUCGGUGACGGCGAGCUAAUCUCUUAAAGCCAAUCUCAGUUCGGAUUGUAGGCUGCAACUCGCCUACAUGAAGUCGGAAUCGCUAGUAAUCGCGGAUCAGCACGCCGCGGUGAAUACGUUCCCGGGCCUUGUACACACCGCCCGUCACACCACGAGAGUUUUAACACCCGAAGUCGGUGAGGUAACCUUUGAGCCAC